CAGGCUUAACACAUGCAAGUCGAGGGGCAGCAUUUUAGUUUGCUUGCAAACUGAAGAUGGCGACCGGCGCACGGGUGAGUAACACGUAUCCAACCUGCCGAUAACUCCGGAAUAGCCUUUCGAAAGAAAGAUUAAUACCGGAUAGCAUACGAAUAUCGCAUGAUAUUUUUAUUAAAGAAUUUCGGUUAUCGAUGGGGAUGCGUUCCAUUAGUUUGUUGGCGGGGUAACGGCCCACCAAGACUACGAUGGAUAGGGGUUCUGAGAGGAAGGUCCCCCACAUUGGAACUGAGACACGGUCCAAACUCCUACGGGAGGCAGCAGUGAGGAAUAUUGGUCAAUGGGCGAGAGCCUGAACCAGCCAAGUAGCGUGAAGGAUGAAGGCUCUAUGGGUCGUAAACUUCUUUUAUAUGGGAAUAAAGUUUUCCACGUGUGGAAUUUUGUAUGUACCAUAUGAAUAAGGAUCGGCUAACUCCGUGCCAGCAGCCGCGGUAAUACGGAGGAUCCGAGCGUUAUCCGGAUUUAUUGGGUUUAAAGGGAGCGUAGGUGGAUUGUUAAGUCAGUUGUGAAAGUUUGCGGCUCAACCGUAAAAUUGCAGUUGAAACUGGCAGUCUUGAGUACAGUAGAGGUGGGCGGAAUUCGUGGUGUAGCGGUGAAAUGCUUAGAUAUCACGAAGAACUCCGAUUGCGAAGGCAGCUCACUAGACUGUCACUGACACUGAUGCUCGAAAGUGUGGGUAUCAAACAGGAUUAGAUACCCUGGUAGUCCACACAGUAAACGAUGAAUACUCGCUGUUUGCGAUAUACAGUAAGCGGCCAAGCGAAAGCAUUAAGUAUUCCACCUGGGGAGUACGCCGGCAACGGUGAAACUCAAAGGAAUUGACGGGGGCCCGCACAAGCGGAGGAACAUGUGGUUUAAUUCGAUGAUACGCGAGGAACCUUACCCGGGCUUAAAUUGCAACAGAAUAUAUUGGAAACAGUAUAGCCGUAAGGCUGUUGUGAAGGUGCUGCAUGGUUGUCGUCAGCUCGUGCCGUGAGGUGUCGGCUUAAGUGCCAUAAUGAGCGCAACCCUUAUCUUUAGUUACUAACAGGUCAUGCUGAGGACUCUAGAGAGACUGCCGUCGUAAGAUGUGAGGAAGGUGGGGAUGACGUCAAAUCAGCACGGCCCUUACGUCCGGGGCUACACACGUGUUACAAUGGGGGGUACAGAAGGCGGCUACCUGGUGACAGGAUGCUAAUCCCAAAAACCUCUCUCAGUUCGGAUCGAAGUCUGCAACCCGACUUCGUGAAGCUGGAUUCGCUAGUAAUCGCGCAUCAGCCAUAGCGCGGUGAAUACGUUCCCGGGCCUUGUACACACCGCCCGUCAAGCCAUGAAAGCCGGGGGUACCUGAAGUACGUAACCGCAAGGAGCGUCCUAGGGUAAAACUGGUAAUUGGGGCUAAGU
rnacentral:rRNA from 1 species